rnacentral:rRNA from 1 species
UAAGGAAUAUUGGUCAAUGGACGCAAGUCUGAACCAGCCAUGCCGCGUGAAGGAUGAAGGUCCUCUGGAUUGUAAACUUCUUUUAUCUGGGACGAAAAAAGCUCAUUCUUGAGCACUUGACGGUACCAGAAGAAUAAGCACCGGCUAACUCCGUGCCAGCAGCCGCGGUAAUACGGAGGGUGCAAGCGUUAUCCGGAUUUACUGGGUUUAAAGGGUGCGUAGGUGGAUUUGUAAGUCAGUGGUGAAAUCUCCGAGCUUAACUCGGAAACUGCCGUUGAUACUACUUGUCUUGAAUAUUGUGGAGAUAAGCGGAAUAUGUCAUGUAGCGGUGAAAUGCUUAGAUAUGACAUAGAACACCAAUUGCGAAGGCAGCUUACUACACAAUCAUUGACGCUGAGGCACGAAAGCGGGGGGCUCAAACA